CCUUCUUUUCAUGAGAAACCUGGGUGCAAAAGAGAGAUGUGGGCAGCAUCAAAAAUUAAGGGUCCAAAGGAGUUUGGACUCUCAUCUAAACUCCUACCUAAACUCUGUCUCUUCCCUAUUUAAACCAUGCAUUCCAUAGGAUGGUGUGAAGGCUGAUAUGGAUCAGGUUUGAUGCCAAAAGAAAGGGGUUUUUGUGCAUGAAAUAUCUAAGGGAG
rnacentral:lncRNA from 1 species